GCGUUAUCCGGAUUUAUUGGGUUUAAAGGGUGCGUAGGCGGCUUAUUAAGUCAGGGGUGAAAGACGGUGGCUCAACCAUCGCAGUGCCUUUGAUACUGAUGAGCUUGAAUACACUUGAGGUAGGCGGAAUGUGACAAGUAGCGGUGAAAUGCAUAGAUAUGUCACAGAACACCAAUUGCGAAGGCAGCUUACUAAGGUGCAAUUGACGCUGAGGCACGAAAGCGUG
rnacentral:rRNA from 1 species